rnacentral:misc_RNA from 1 species
UCCGGCUUAACGCCGGCAGUCUCUUUAGAGUGCCUAACUAAAUAAUGGCAACUAAAGACAAGGGUUGCGCUCGUUGCGGGACUUAACCCAACAUCUCACGACACGAGCUGACGACAGCCAUGCAGCACCUAUGUAGCGACUCUUGCGAGCGACAAUAUCUCUACUGUCUUCCACUACACUUCGAACCCAGGUAAGGUUUUUCGCGUUGCAUCGAAUUGAACCACAUGCUCCACUGCUUGUGCGGGCCCCCGUCAAUUUCUUUGAGUUUUAAUCUUGCGACCGUACUCCCCAGGCGGGAUACUUACCGCGUUAGCUGCGACACUGAAGGGGUCAAAACCUCCAACAUCAAGUAUCCAUCGUUUACGGCGUGGACUAC